rnacentral:lncRNA from 1 species
GUGUAUGUGUCGAGAUUGAGAGAAGUCUCUAUUUCACAAGAACACAAAAAUUCUGCAAAUCAUAAGGAGAACUAGGAUGAAAUCCUUGCAUGUUCACGAAAUUCUCGUCAUCUAGUCACUACAAACCUAAGGUAUGUUGUGAAUUCUCAUUUAGUGGGUUUUCUUUGAUAGAGGAUCCUUGAAUGAUGAAGGUCUAGUGUGAAUUAUAGCAAUUAAAUGUAAAUUGAUGUAGUAGUAGUGCUUAUAAUCAUCAUCUUAGCUAAUAUGUGAGAAAUAUUUAAGUAAAUUAGGGGAUUUGGGUGAAUGUUCAUAUAUGUUAUGAAGUGGGAAUAAAGCCCCAUUCUAGUAUGGUUAUUUUGAGAGUAAAAUGCAAAUUGCGUCUAUGUGCUUUAGGAGUGGUAUUAGCUUGAGUCCCUAAAAUGAAAAUUUCGAUGUCCGAGUCCCCGUCUUUGAAACAGCAUCACAACUUGAGCCCCUCCUGCUAACUUAGUUAGUGGCAAGGACUCAAGUUGUAGCGCCUUUUCAAAGAUGGGGACUCAGACGUUGAAAUUUUCAUUUUAGUGACUCAACCUGACAACACCCUUAAAGCACAGGGACACAAAUUGCAUUUUACUCUUAUUUCAAUGUAUUGGUAUUAAUAACUAAAAUUUGUGUUAACUAUCAGUAUUAAUAACUAAAAUUUGUGUUAACUAGAUGCUAAGAAAAAUUUGAGACUGAUGACUAGCAUUAACAUGGUGAUUUUGUUGGCAAAUCAAGCUAAUUUGAUAAAAUCCAUUUCCCUUAAAUUAAUGCCUAUAACGUGUUUGAUAAAAAUGUCUAUGUAAAAUUUAAUUGUUACCAACCCUUGAAACAUUGAUGAAAGUUUCAUGAAUGAUUUUUAAUGACCUUUGAUAAAAGGGGCCAAGAAUGAUUAUGUGUGUUAUUGAUCACUUGGAUUAAAACUAUAGGGAACUUAAGCGAAGCUUCGGGAAGCCAAGCCGGGAAGGAAGCUCGUCAAAAAAGGGAACCUCUAAUGUAUGUAGCUACAUUUGUUAUGAUUUAACAUGUUAAAACCAUGCUAAGUAGAACAUUAUCAAGAAGUAGAAUGAAAGACCUUUUUGUGUCAAGUGGUAAUUGAUUUUUAAGUAAAACUGUGUAAAGGGCAUGUAAAAUCGAAGUAUAAAUGACCCACUGAGUCAUAGAGAUAGAGUUAUUACCUAGCAAGGACAACCUUGGUUAUAGACUAUGGUGAGAAUUGAAUAAACGACAGUCACCACUCAUGGUUCUGAAAAGGACUAUGAAUGGCGAACUAAACGGGUCGUUUGCGGUCUAUAGGGCCACAAACAAUGUAUUGGACAUGUAAAACCGAGUAUAGAUAACCCACGGGGGCGUAGAAGCUAAGGUAUUGUCCAUUAUUACCAAUCACAAUCGUGGUUAUGGUUUGAGGAAAUGGAAAAUGGUAAAGGAAUAUGGGAGACUUGAGUUAGAAAGCUCAAUGCCCCUUGACUGGUCGGUUUGGGUAAAACGCCUAACCGAAAGAAUGAAUUAGAUGCUAAAGAAUCCGAGUUGGGAUUGUGGAUUUCGGAUUUAAAGUUUGAAAAGAAAAGUCCAAAAUAUGACAACUUGAGUUUGGGCCAAGUUGGGUAAAUAUGGUGAAAAACUGAAAAGUUUGACUAAGUGUAGAAAUAUGAGAAUUGGUGAAUGAAAUUUUUUGAUAGGUAAAUUAGAAAUGAGUCACCGGAUGGAAGAUCAAGCUACGUGAAGAACCGAACACCCCGGAAAGCUUACUAAUUCCCGCCAUUUGUUUAUGUUUCCUUGAGAUUUUAAAAUGAUGACUUGAAUUUUGUAAUUCAAACUAUUACUAUUACGGCACAUUAUAACAAAAUUGUUUAGU